GACGAACGCUGGCGGCGUGCUUAACACAUGCAAGUCGUACGGUAAGGCCCUUUCGGGGGUACACGAGUGGCGAACGGGUGAGUAACACGUGAGUAACCUGCCCACAACUUUGGGAUAACGCUAGGAAACUGGUGCUAAUACUGGAUAUGUGCUCCUGCUGCAUGGUGGGGGUUGGAAAGCUCCGGCGGUUGUGGAUGGACUCGCGGCCUAUCAGCUUGUUGGUGGGGUAGUGGCCUACCAAGGCGGCGACGGGUAGCCGGCCUGAGAGGGUGACCGGCCACAUUGGGACUGAGAUACGGCCCAGACUCCUACGGGAGGCAGCAGUUGGGAAUAUUGCACCAUGGGCGCAAGCCUGAUGCAGCAACGCCGCGUGCGGGAUGACGGCCUUCGGGUUGUAAACCGCUUUCAGCAGGGACGAAGCUUUUUGUGACGGUACCUGCAGAAGAAGCACCGGCUAACUACGUG
rnacentral:rRNA from 1 species